rnacentral:lncRNA from 1 species
AAAGGCUUGGAUGAAUGGCGUCAAAGUCAACCUACUUCUGAGGAUGAUAGCUUAACCCAAUUGCCAGACGAUGAUGAAGCUUCAAUAUUGUCGAAGAAGAUUGGUGGAUUAAAGAAAGGUAAAGCACGCGUCCUUGGAUCAGAGCAUUGCGUAGGCUGUGUCACGUUUGGAUUUGCUUCUGCUUCUUUAAGUUCUGGGCAGAAUCAGGAAGAGAUAGAUUCAGAGAUAAAAUCAUUGCGGAUACAAGUACAAGAGCUAUUGAAAAAGCAAAAAGCAGACCGUUUAAGACUUGAUGGACUGGAGAAUCUAGUGGUUCAGCUCAUAGACAAUUGCCGAUCUGAAGAGUCUGACAAUGAUGAGUCUGAUGGAGAAAAAUAGUUUGUUGUGCUUUUGAUGUUGAAGCAAUACUUGUUUGAUUUCGUUUGGAUAUUACCUGAAUGGACCAUUCAAGGUCUUUGGAUGUUUUAGACUUGAUUUUGUAUGCUACUUGAAUGGUGUUUUGGAUGUUUUAGUUAUAAACGUUUAUGUUUAAUUGUUCGAAUUUUUGGAGAUUUGAUUGUUGGGCACAAACCAUUUAUGUUAUUAAGCAUAAAAGAGAGUGGUGGAAAAAAAAGUGUGUCACGGAAGAUAAAACAGGAUAAGUAACUAUUAUGUGAACAUUAAUAGUUAAUCAUUUUUCAAAUUUUCUUCAAUAAGCUCGAUAAGAUGGAAUUUUCUUAAGUUUAAACCUGAUUUACCAAUAAGAAAUACUUAAAACUUAUUGCACAAAUGACAAAAUACCAUAGACAAAAACUUUUCGCACUCUAUAUUUGUAUCAAACCACACUAAGUAUCAAAUAGCAAAUUGUACUGAAGCCGAAGCACCUGCCCAGUUUAGUAAGUUUUCUCCACUGCAUUACUAAGGAACAGAGGAAGAAGAAUACUACUACCAAAAUAAGCCAUUUCAGAAGAACAACACCAAACAAAAAAAAUCUUUUCGACAUUCCAAUGGAAAAAGUGCGCGAAAAUCGACGCUGCAUUUAUAAGUCAUUACCGACACAGAUUUCCGACGGCAGCCGUCGCAAAACUUAAAUAUAUAUUGGGAACAAAACCCUCAUUUUUUCUCAAUUAUCACUUCCUCGCCUCACUUUUUUUCUCUACUCUUUCCUUGGCGAUUCACCUCUUAGGACAGCCAAAUAAAGCCGUCCAGUAGCGCCGCCGUUGACGGCAGCACCACCGCUCAGUCGAGGUAAGUGGAUUUUUUCCUUCUUCCACAGUUUUUCUCCAGGUUUACUAUUUGUAUGAGAUUUUGAAUAGAUCUGGAUAGAUAUCACCAUUUUCUUCAAAGGUCCGUGUAGAAUUUUGCUUUGAUUAAGUUUUGUUCUUCUUUCUGGGUGUUGCUCAUAUGAAAAUAUUAACUUGAAUCGUUAUAGUCUCUCUGCUUUGACUACUUAACUUCCCAACUUUGUUUAUUGUAUUUAGCAUUAAUGAUUUUGGAACUUUGUUAAUUUUAUCUAACACAAAAGAUAUAACCAUCUAUGUAUUCUUUUCGGGGGAUUGAGCAGAAGAUGUUUGAUUACCCGGAAGGGUAGCUGAGUUCUUGUUCAAAACCCCCGGCUUAUUUAUGAUCAAAUGUAUCUAUGAAGAACUUAUCCUUCAGUCUUUACUUGUAGCUCAAAUCAACAAGAUUAUGAGGAAGAUACAUCCAUGCCACACAAGAAUGGAGAUUCAAUUGAUGAACAUAAAACAAGCGAGAAAUAAUUACUUGAUGAAAAUGAAACGAGCAAUAUAAAAAAUUUAAUGAUGAAUUUAAAGCAAGGGAAAAAUUAGUAUGUUAGUUUUUUUAUCUUCUUUAGUCAUAUAAUAGGUUGAAGAAGUAACAACUUUAUUAGUAUUCUUAAAUUAUUAUUAUUUUUAACUAUGCUUGUAUUAUUCAGAUGACAUCUCAGGAGAAUGAUCGUCCACAAAGUGCUAGUGCAGUGAAACGUAAAUCUAAGGGAAAGAAAAAAGUUUCUGAGACUACAGGUUACACUACCUCUCUACUUAUAUGCCUCUUACAUGUAUACAGGAAGUCUUUUUGAAUAACAAUCAUUUGAAAUGAUCAUUAAAAUCAUGCAUGACCACAACCUUUAAAUCAACAUCUUUUCGAUAAAUGAAAUGUUUUAUACAUGCAUGUCAUAUGAGAAAUCAUAAAUUACAACGCAAAAAGAAAAACUAUUGUCUAUGGAACUUCUAUAACGCAUAGUGAAAUAGUCAACCAAGACAGGCUCUAGUACUCAAAAGAAUGAAGUAAAUGUCUUUCUAAGAUGUGGAGAUCUUGCUCGAGCCUGAGUAAAGAAUGAAGUAAAUGUACUUAAAGAUUCUGAUAUUUCUUUAUGUCCACAAGGUAUGAAUGAAUUUUGCUUAUACCAUUUCAAUGCUUUUGCUAUUUUGGUCUUCCCCUUUGCGUGUUGCAUUGUCCAUUGAAAGAAAUUGGUCCAAGCAAUUGGCGUAACAUAACAUAACUGUGAUCAGUUGAGUAAUUUGGUCAAGAAACACCUAGCAUAAUGACACUUAACAAAUAUAUGAUCCCUUGUUUCAUCUUCCAGCUGGCAAAACAUACAUUUAGGAGUCGUUUGAGUGUAUAAGAAUAAUGCAAAAUAUAGUGUAUUAGUAAUGCUUGUAUUAGUUAUGAUUGCAUUAGUUAUGCUGAGAUUUUUCUUAUGUAGUGUUUGGUUUGAUGUACUAAAAAUAUCAUGCAUUGCAUAACUUUUUAAAAAAAUAUAUUUGUUUAUAAAAAUACCCUCCACAAAUAUAGUGGAGAGGAUGUGGAGAAGUUUUUAAGGGAUAAUUGUGCCUUUAAUCUUGCCAAUACAUGCAUUAGAACCCAUUGCAUUACAAUGCAUAGAAAUCCAUGGUAUUACUAAUACACUCCUCAAUACACAAUAGAGUGUAUUACUUAUACAAACAUUAGUUAUACAUAGGUUGAAAAAGUGUACCAAACAAGGUACUAGUAAUACCUAAAGCUAAUGCAUGCAUUAUUUUCUCCAAUACACUCUACCAAACGACCCCUUAGUCACCAAUCGAUCAAUUGUUAGCAGUCUUCCAUGGCAUUGCAAAUUCGCAACCACAUUGUGAAUUUUGCGUUGGAUUUUGCAUAAUUUUGAAACAUUAACCCUCUCCAAUUCAUUCUUGGGUUAUCUGGCAGUAGUUACGACUUACGAGUAGAUCUAGUGGAUUAGAUUUUUAUGGGCUAUGAACUGUGAACUUGUCCUUUAGGCACAUUGAACUAUCCCAAGGUCUUCUUGUCCUUGGGUGGACCCUUACAUACUUCAAGGCGAGAAUAAUUAUACUCUUAAGCUCAUAAUUUUUCUCACAUUAAUUAUCAAAAUUUAUGGAUCUUUACAGGUACACAGUGUCAAAAGUUUGUAGAGGUUGGAAUGCUGGAUGGUUUUGGGAAGCUAGUUAUCGCUCCUGCUGAGACUAAUGGGUAAACAAUACUUAUGUUAGUUUUUGGUUAUUGAAUAUAUGUUUUUACAUAUGUUAAAUUUAAUGCAGGUUUUUUCCCUCCAUCGAAUCUAUGAAUGUGAUUAUGGAUUCUAUAAAGUCAUUUUAUCUUGAUGCUUGGAGUUCCUGGGGCGAGAUACCUGUCUUUGACAGAGAGCAGAUGUGGAAUCACUUUAGGGUACAAAUAAAUCAUUUCUUUAUAUUAUUUAUCAAAUUACUUUUUUUUCAUCUAAUGUUAUUAAUUAUUUGCAGACGAAGUGUGCAUGGUAUCCCGAACAUGAUUAUAAGAUGUUUUGUAAUUUUGAGCUAAAUGCUAUGUAUAUGUUUAACGAUAUCUUGGAGAGUGCUUUGGAAAAGAGUCAGAAGCCCGAUUGGAUGCCAGAAGGUAUAUGGGCUAGUCUUGAUGAAAAGCGGACCCCUGCAAAAUUUCAAAAGACGAGCAUCGACGCAAAGGCACAACGGGCUUCCAACAAGGGUGACUCGUUGCACAUCGGGGGUUCAGCUAGUAUGGGGACUCAUCAAAGGAAAUCGGUAACUUGUUUAUUGAAUUUUCCUUGAUUUUUACUAAAUGCUGUUGAACUUUAACCAAGUCAUAUUUUUUGUUUUGCAGGAAAAGAAAAAGGGGAGAACUAUGACUUAUGAUAAGGUCUUAGAGGAGAAACAGGUGAAAAAGAAAAAGGAUGGUCAUGGUACUUUGGUGGAGCCACAUGUUGAGAGGACAAAUGUAAGAUCUUAGCCUCAGAGAUAUUAUCUUUUCCUUAACAUGAAUGUGUUUAUAAAUAUUGCUUAUCAUUCUUGUUUCAGGUUGGGUAUAAAAGAAGCUUGGAUGAAUGGCGUCAAAGUCAACCUACUUCUGAGGAUGAUAGCUCAAAACAAUCACCAGACGAGGAUAAAGCUUUAUUGUCGAAGAAGAUUGGUGGAGUAAAGAAACGUAAAGCAAGCAGCCUUGGAUCAGAGCAUUGCGUAGGGUGUAUCACGUAUGGAUAUACUGCUGCUUCUUUAAGUUCUCCGUUGAAACAGAAUGAGGAAGAGAUAGAUUCAUUGCGGAUACAAGUACAAGAGUUGUUGAAAAAGCAAAAGGCAGACCGUUUAAGACUUGCUGGACUGGAGAAUCUAGUGCGUCAUCUCUUAGACAAAUGCUGAUAUGAUGAGCCUGACGAUGAGUCUGAUAGGGUGAAUCAGUUUGUUGUGCUUGUGAUGUUGAAACAUUUACUUGUUUGAUUUCGUUGGGAUAUUACUUGAAUGGUGUCCAAAUGUCUAAACUUGCUUUUGCUUGUAGAUGCUACUUGAAUGGUGUUUUUAGACUUGCUUUUGGAUGUUACUUGAAUGGUGUUUGGAUGUUUUAGACUUGUUUUUGGAUGCUACUUGAAUGGUAUUUGGAUGUUUUAGUUAUAAACGUUUGUUUUUAAUUGUUGGAAUUUUAGGAGGUUUGAUUUUUGGGCACAGAGCAGAAAGAAUGAAAUAUAUUUUUAAAACUUGCUUUCCAUCCAAAAAUAUAUAUUGGUAAAUAUUUGUGUUGUUAAAAAAGCAUGUCAUUAAACAUAAAAUGGAUAACUUUUGGAGUAAAAUUUAUCCGCACCGCGUGUAUACACCAAGCCAAUACAUGUAUCCCAUGUGUUUAAAUUUAUAGUUCAUUUUGCUUAAUCAUAAUUAAUUAACAUGUGUUUUAUUCAUUAAAUCACGUAAUAAUAGAAAUUGCAUUAGUUUGGUGUAUACACCCUGUGCGGGUAAGUUUUUUCCUUAACUUUUGGUAAAAAAAAGUGUGUCAUGCAAGAUUAAAAAAACGCAAGUAAUUAUGUGAACAUUACUGGUUAAUCAUUUUUCAAAUUUACUUCUGAUCUUGAAAGAUCGAAUUUGCUAGGUUUAAACCUAAUUCACCAAUAAGAAAUAUUUGAAAUUUAUUGCACAAAUGGCAAAAACAUAUCCGCACUCUAUGUUUAUAUCAAAUUAUAUUGAUUUACUAUGAUUAAGUUAAAAUAUGUAUUACUCCGUAAUAAACUAUGAUGUAGUUAUAAGAGUAUAUGUGAAGCUAUGUGUCAUAUUCAUUGGAUUUGUGAGUAAUUUUCUUUAGAACACCUAAUAAGCACCAUUUAUGUUUCGCAUAAACUCUCCUCUCCCAAUUCUAAACUGUAGCAAGUAUCACAGAAAAUGCUCAUCAUAUAUAACUCCAGUACCUUUUUGUUGUCAAGUAUCCUGAUUCUACUUCAGCUUCAAGCUAAUAUUGACAAUUAUCACUCUUCUUUCCUGAAUAUGACACAUUUGCAUCGCCUAGAACCAAAAAAUAGUUAUUUGAUCCAUAAGUUAUAUUAUAACAUGAGGAUAUAAGAAACAGGUUUGGUCAGUCUAGUAUGUUAAUGAAUAUAAUGAUGUGAGUUUCGACAAUGGAAUUUUGGCAAGAAAUUAGGAACAGAGGAAGAAGAAUACUGGAGUACAAAAUAAGCCAUUUCAGAAGAACACCAAAUUAUAAACUUUUGAUAUUCCGACGGAAAAAAGCGACGUAAAGAUUGCGAAAAUCGAGGCUCAAUUUAUAAGUGAUUACCGACUCAAUUUUCCGACUUCAAGAGGUCGAAAAACUUAAAUUUAUAUUGGGAGCAAACCCUCAUUUCUCAACUCUCUCUUCCUCGCCUCACUUUUUUCCUCUACUCUUUCCUUGCCUAUUCACCUCUUACGACAGCCAAACAAAGCCGUCCACCGUUCACGGCGGCACCACCGUGCAGUUGAAGUAAGUGGAUUUUUUACUUGUUCCACAGUUUUCCUCCCACUUUUAAGGUUUAUUAGUAUUUGUAUGAGAUUUUGAAUAGAUCUGGAUAAAUAUCACCAUUUUCUUCAAAGGUCCGUCUAGAAUUUAGUUUUCUUCUCCUUUAUGGGUUUUGCUCAUAUGAAAAUAUUAACUUGAAUCCGACUAAUUAACUUCUGAACUUUGUUUAUUGCAUUUAGUAAUGAUUUUGAAACUUUGUUAAUUUUAUCUAAACACAAAAGAUAGAACCAUCUAUGUAUACUUUUCGGUUUUUUGAGCAGAAGAUGUUUGGAAGGGUAGCUGAGUGCAUGUUCACAAUUCCCGGCUUAUUUCUAAUCAAAUGUAUCUAUGAAGAACUUAUCAUUCAGUCAUUACUUGUAGCCCAAAUCAACAAGAUUAUGAGGAAGAUACAUCCUUGCCACACAAGAACGGAGCUUCAAUCCAUGAACAUAAAAUAUGCGAGAAAUAAUUACUUGAUGAAAAUGAAACUAGCAAUAUAAAAAGUUUAAUUAUCAAAUUAAAGCAAGGGAGAAACUUUUUUAUGUUCUUUAGUCAUAUCAUAUAAUAGAUUGAAGAAGCAACAACUUAAUUAGUAUUCAUAAUUUUUUUUUUAAUUUUAACUCUGCCUGUAUUAUACAGAUGGCAUCUCUGGAAAACGAUCGUCCACAAAGUACUAAUGUAGUGACACGUAAAUCCAAGGGAAAGAAAAAAGUUUCCGAGACCACAGGUUACACUACCUCUCCACUUGCAGGUCACACUACACUCUACUUAUAUGCCACUUACAUGUAUUCAGAAGUCUUUUCGAAAUACAAUCAUUUGAAUCAUGCAUGAACACAAUCUUUAAAUAUACCUGUCGAUAAGUGAACUGUUUUAUUCAUGCAUGUCAUAUGACAAAUCAUAAAUUACAAUGCAAAAAGAAAAACUGGUCUUUAUGGAUAUAACUCUUAGUGAGAUAGUCAACCAAUACAGGCUCUACUACUCAAAAGAAUGAAGUAAAUGUCUCUAUCUAAUUAUUAGUGUGGAGUCACACUAAAAGUAUUGAGGAGAUGUGGAGUUGUCCUAUUCGUGAGGCUCAUGCUGCUCGAGCUUUGCCCUCAAAGAUUCUGAUAUUUCUUUCUAUCCACAAGCUUUGCCCUCAGAGCUUUUUCUAUUUUGGUCUUCCCUUGUGUGUUACAUAAUCCAUUGAAAACAGUUGACAUAACAUAGUAUAACUGCAUCCAGCCAGUUGAGUAAUUUGAUCCAUAAACACCUAGCAUGAUGGCACUCAAGAAAUAUAUGAUCCCUUGUUUCACCUUCCAGCUGGCAAAACACAAAAUUAGUCACCAAUCGAUUGACUAUUAGCAGUCUGCAAUGGCAUUGCAAAUUCGCAGCCACAUUGUGAAUUUUUUAUUGAAUCUUGCAUAAUUCUGAAACAUUAAUCCUCUCCAAUUCAUUCUUGGAUUAUCUGGCUGUAGUUACAAGUAAAUAUGGUGGAUUAGACAUUUAUGGUCUAUGAAUUAUGAACUUGUCCCUUAGGCACAUUGAACUAUCCCAAUGUCAUUUUGUCCUUGUAUGGACCCUUAGUUAUCAAAAUUUAUGGAUCUUUACUGUUAAAGAUUGACAAAAGUCCCACAUCGGUGGUUAAUGAGAUGGGUGGACUCCUUAUAAGGCUUGGGCAAUCCUCCUCCCUUUGAGCUAGCUUUUGGGGUGUGAGUUAGGCCCAAGACCUAAUUUAACAUUUACAGGUACACAGAGUCAAAAUAUUGGAGAGGUUGGAACGCUGGAUGCUUCGCGGAGGCUGAUUAUCGCUCCUACUUAGACUAUUGGGUAAACGGUAGUACUUUUGUUAGUUUUUAGUUAUUGAAUAUAUGUUUUUACCUAUGUUAAAUUUAAUCCAGGUUUUUGCCCUCCACCCAAUCUCUAACUGCGAUUAUGGAUUCCAUUAAAUCAUUUUAUCGUGACACUUGGACUUCCUGGGGAGAGAUACCUGUGUAUGACAGAGAACAAAUGUGGAAUCACUUUAAGGUACAAAUAAGUCAAUUCUCUAUAUUGUCAUCAAAUUACUUUUUUACAUCUAUUGUUAGUAAUUUUUUGCAGACGAAUUGCACAUGGCAUCCCCAACAUGAUUAUGUAACAUUUUAUAAUUAUGGGAGAAUCGCUGCUUUUAUGCUUGAUGAUUGCUAGCGGUGUGCUCGGGAAAUGAGUCAGAAGCCCGAUUGGAUGCUAGAAGGUAUAUGGGCUAGACUUAAUGAAAAGUGGACCACUGAGAAAUUUCAAAAGACGAGCAUCCAACAUGUUGUGAAAAAUAAGAAGGAUGGUCGUAGUACUUUGGUCGAGCCAUAUGUUGAGACAAAUGUAAGAUCUUAGCUUCAGAGCUAUUAUUGUUUCCUUUCAUGAAUUUGUCUAUGUAUUACUAGUUUAUCGUUCAUGUUUCAGGUUGGGUUAAAUGAAUGGCGUCAAAGCCAACCUACUUCUGAGGAUGAUAGCUCAAACCAAUCGCCAGACGAUGAUGAAGCUUCAAUAUUGUCGAAGAAGAUUGGUGGAGUAAAGAAAAGUAAAGCAAGCGGCCUUGGAUCAGAGCAUUGCGUAGGCUGUAUCACGUAUGGAUAUACUGCUGCUUCUUUAAGUUCUCCGUUGAAACAGAAUGAGGAAGAGAUAGAUUCACUGCGGAUACAAGUACAAGAGCUGUUGAAAAAACAAAAAGCAAACCGUUUAAGACUUGCGGGAUUGGAGAAUCUAGUUCGUCAUCUCUUAGACGAAUGCUGAUAUGACGAGUCUGACGAUGAGUCUUGAUGGGGAGAAUUAGUUUGUUGUGCUUGUGAUGUUGAAACAUUUACUUGUUUGAUUUCGUUGGGAUACUAC